GCCGCGCCAACGACUGGGCCAUCGUCGCGGUCGCUGUCGUCGACGGGCGGGUCGGGCUGGUCAACAUGGGUUCGACGCCCCUGCGCGCCA
rnacentral:tRNA from 1 species